UCUGCCCUCUCUCUAGCCCAAUCAACCUCACCCUAAAUAUCAAAAAUUCACUUCACACACUCAACCAAAACAUUCUAACCGUCCAAGUAUAGGUGAUAGAAAAGACCCUCCGGCGCAAUAGAGAUUAGCUGUACCGUAAGGGAAAGAUGAAAUAACAAUGAAAUCAACUAUAAGCAAGAAACAGUAAAGACCAGCCCUUGUACCUCUUGCAUCAUGAUUUAGCGAGAACAACCAAGCAAAGCGAACUAAAGUUUGCCCCCCCGAAACCCAAGCGAGCUACUUGCAAGCAGCUAAUAAUUGAGCGAACCCGUCUCUGUUGCAAAAGAGUGGGACGACUUGCCAGUAGAGGUGAAAAGCCAACCGAGCUGGGUGAUAGCUGGUUACCUGCCAAAUGAAUCUAAGUUCCCCCUUAACCUAUUCCCUCAAGGACACCCACCCCACCCUCCUAUGUUAAGGUUAAGAGCAAUUCGACGGAGGUACAGCUCCCUCGAAAAAGAAUACAACCUCCUCCAGCGGAUAAGAACCCCCCCCCUCCCCUCCCGUGGGCCUUCAAGCAGCCACCAACAAAAGAGUGCGUCAAAGCUCCUCAACUAAAAAUCCAAAAACCCAUCCGACUCCCUCACCAAAAGCAGGUCAACCUAUGACAAUAGAAGAAUUUAUGCUAAAAUGAGUAACUUGGAGCCUUCCUCUACACAGCGUAAACUUACAUCAAUACAUUAUUAACAGAACCCCACUUAUAUUACCACCCAACAAGACCCCAUAUUUAACCUAAUCUGUUAGACCAACUCAGGAACGCCCCAAAGAUGAUUAAAACCUGCAAAAGGAACUCGGCAAACUAAAGACCCGACUGUUUCCCAAAAACAUAGCCUUCAGCAACCAACAAGUAUUGAAGGUGAUGCCUGCCCAGUGACCCACAACGUUUCAACGGCCGCGGUAUCCUAACCGUGCGAAGGUAGCGCAAUCAAUUGUCUCAUAAAUUGGGACCUGUAUGAAUGGCUAAACGAGGUCUUUACUGUCUCUUGCAGACAAUCAGUGAAAUUAGUAUCCUCGUGCAAAAACGAGAAUGUGACCAUAAGACGAGAAGACCCUGUGGAACUUUAAAAUAACAACCACCUUCCCACCAGCCUUCCCCCCAAAAGGGCCCACCUAUGUAAAUCAUCUGGUUGACAUUUUUCGGUUGGGGCGACCUUGGAGAAAAACAAAUCCUCCAAACCCAUAGACCACACCUCUUUACCAAGAACCACCCCUCAAAGUACUAAUAGUAAUUAGACCCAAUACAAUUGACCAAUGGACCAAGCUACCCCAGGGAUAACAGCGCAAUCUCCUCCAAGAGCCCCUAUCGACAAGGAGGUUUACGACCUCGAUGUUGGAUCAGGACACCCUAAUGGUGCAGCCGCUAUUAAGGGUUCGUUUGUUCAACGAUUAAUAGUCCUACGUGAUCUGAGUUCAGACCGGAGCAAUCCAGGUCGGUUUCUAUCUAUGAAUGUACUCCUCCUAGUACGAAAGGACCGGAGAAGUGGGGUCAAUACCAUAAGCACACCCCAGUCUUCCAAGCAGUGAAUUCAACUCAACUGCCAAGAAGCCCAACACCCACACCUAACUCCUAGAAAAGGAAUAG
rnacentral:rRNA from 1 species